rnacentral:rRNA from 1 species
AACGAACGCUGGCGGCAGGCCUAACACAUGCAAGUCGAGCGAGGACUUCGGUUCUAGCGGCGGACGGGUGAGUAACGCGUGGGAAUGUUCCCUUCUCUACGGAAUAGCCCUGGGAAACUGGGAGUAAUACCGUAUACGCCCUUUUGGGGAAAGAUUUGUCGGAGAAGGAUCAGCCCGCGUUGUAUUAGGUAGUUGGUGGUGUAAUGGCCUACCAAGCCGAGGAUCCAUAGCUGGUUUGAGAGAAUGAGCAGCGACACUGGGGCUGAGACACGGCGCAGACUCCUGCGGGAGGCAGCAGUGGGGAAUCUUAGACAAUGGGGGCAACCCUGAACGAGCCAGGCCGGGUGAGUGAUGAAGGCCUGAGGGUUGUAAAGCUCUUUAAGCUGGGGAGAUAAUGACGGUACCAGAAGAAGAAGCCCCGGCUAACUCCGUG